rnacentral:rRNA from 1 species
GACGAACGCUGGCGGCGGGCUUAACACAUGCAAGUCGAACGGAAAGGCCCUGCUUUUGUGGGGUGCUCGAGGGGCGAACGGGUGAGGAACACGUGAGUAACCUGCUCUUGACUUUGGGAUAACUUCAGGUAACUGGGGCUAAUACCGGACAGCAGCCCCUGUUGCAUGGUGGGGGUUGGAACGUCUCGGCGGUUGCGGAUGGACUGGCGGCUGAUCAGCUUGCUGGUUGGGUAGUGGCAUACCAAGGCUUUGACCGGUAGGCGGCCUGAGAGGGUGAACGGCCACAAUGCGACUGAGAUACGGCCCAGAGUCGUACGGUAGGCAGAAGUGGCGAAUAUUGCACAAUGGGCGCAAGCCUGAUGCAGAGACGCCGCGUGCGGAAUGACGGCCUUCGGGUUGAAAACCGCUUUCGCCUGAGACGAAGCGUGAGUGACGGUACUGAAUAAAGAAGCACCGGCUAACUACGUG